GACGAACGCUGGCGGCGUGCCUAAUACAUGCAAGUUGAGCGAUGAAGAUUGGUGCUUGCACCAAUUUGAAGAGCAGCGAACGGGUGAGUAACGCGUGGGGAAUCUGCCUUUGAGCGGGGGACAACAUUUGGAAACGAAUGCUAAUACCGCAUAACAACUUUAAACAUAAGUUUUAAGUUUGAAAGAUGCAAUUGCAUCACACAAAGAUGAUCCCGCGUUGUAUUAGCUAGUUGGUGAGGUAAAGGCUCACCAAGGCGAUGAUACAUAGCCGACCUGAGAGGGUGAUCGGCCACAUUGGGACUGAGACACGGCCCAAACUCCUACGGGAGGCAGCAGUAGGGAAUCUUCGGCAAUGGACGAAAGUCUGACCGAGCAACGCCGCGUGAGUGAAGAAGGUUUUCGGAUCGUAAAACUCUGUUGGUAGAGAAGAACGUUGGUGAGAGUGGAAAGCUCAUCAAGUGACGGUAACUACCCAGAAAGGGACGGCUAACUACGUG
rnacentral:rRNA from 1 species